rnacentral:misc_RNA from 1 species
GUUUGCUGUAAGCAUUUCAUCAAUUAAAGCUAAAACAUAUUCCACGGUUUCGUCCUUGAAGAUAUCUCGUAAAGUAGUAACAAAAACACGGAUAUAAGCUGGACCGUCAUUAUCCAGCAACUGAGAUUUGUAGCUUUCAGCCAUUUUAUCAUAACGCCUCAACAGCUGAAGAUCUGUUCCACUGAUCAGCUUCGUGGUCAUGUAAGUCUCCCAUGGAAUAUCCCUCCUCAAAACCUGCUCGGUGGUGAGCUCACCGUUUUCAAUUGUCAUUGUGAUUAUAUUCUUCCGAUCUGAAAAUCUGAUAUCCUCUAAUGAAACAAGAAAAUUCAGAAUCUGUUGUUUCCUUCAACCAUAUGAAGAUGGUGAUGAACAGAGGUGCCACAGAUGGGAGUUGAAAUCUG